AGUGAGCCGAGAUUGCGUCACCGCACUCCAGCCUGGGCGACAGAGCGAGACUCCGUCUCAAAAAAAAUGACUGGACAAAAAACACUCUGAUGCAAACAGGCAAGAAACCCAGCAAGGCCUAUCUGGAUUCUCCUUGGCCUGUCUGCAGCAUUCAUUCCUUCUGGGUAUGGAACAGGACCCUCUGGAAUGGGGGCUGUGGCCUACAACAGUUAAACAAGGUGAGAAGAAACAUCAGAAGCAGUUGAAAGACCAGGAUGUGGGUCCUCUGGGGCUGAGGAGGCAUUCUGAAUCAACUGUGUGUUCUACACCUGUGUUUUAACUGUGACCUGUCACAUGAGGACAAGUGUGGAAUUUCCCACUUUUGUGCCAUAAAUCUCUCUCUGGGAACAGUGUGGAAGAUGGAUUGAAAUGGUGUAAAAUUGAAGAUGUGGACUCCGGUUGGGAGACUACACCCUAGAUAAGAUGAAGAGAACUUGAAGCAAGACAAUAGCAAUGGGAAUAUAAAGGAGAGGAGACAUUUGAGUGAAAUUAAGGAAGCACAAUCUGCAGACUGUUUUCUUUUUUUUAAGAGUCAGGGUCUCCCUAUUUUGCCCAGGCUGGUCUCAAAGUCCUAGGCUCAAGCGACCCACCCACCUCAGCCUUCCAAAAUGCUGGAAUUACAGGGGUGAACUGCCUCACCAUGCCUCAGUCUGCAGAAUUUGAUGACUGAAUGUAUUUGGAGAGAGUCUGUGGCUUGGAUGACUGGGAGCUGUGAUUGGUUGAUUGAUUUUGAGGCGGAGUUUCACUCUUGUUGCCCAGGCUGAAGUGCAGUGGCACAACCUCUGCUCACUGCAACCGCUGCCUUCCAGUUUCAAGCGAUUCUCCUGCCUCAGCCUCCCAAGUAGCUGGGAUUACAGGCGCCUGCCACAACGUCUGGAGACGGAGUUUCUCCAUUUUGGCCAGUUUGGUGUCGACCUCCCGGGCUUAAGCGAUCCACCCACCUCAGCCUCCCAAAGUGUUGGGAUUACAGGCGUGAGCCACUGUAUCCAGCUUGUGAUAUACUUUUAAUAAAUUUCUCUUAAACUUAAAUUAGCAAGUGCUUGUUUAUCAUCCUUCCAAUUAGAGAACCUGGAUUCGGCCAUUAGGAAGUCAAGGGUGGCAUUCAU
rnacentral:lncRNA from 1 species